GACGAACGCUGGCGGCGUGCCUAAUACAUGCAAGUUGAGCGCUGAAGGUUGGUACUUGUACCAACUGGAUGAGCAGCGAACGGGUGAGUAACGCGUGGGGAAUCUGCCUUUGAGCGGGGGACAACAUUUGGAAACGAAUGCUAAUACCGCAUAAAAACUUUAAACACAAGUUUUAAGUUUGAAAGAUGCAAUUGCAUCACUCAAAGAUGAUCCCGCGUUGUAUUAGCUAGUUGGUGAGGUAAAGGCUCACCAAGGCGAUGAUACAUAGCCGACCUGAGAGGGUGAUCGGCCACAUUGGGACUGAGACACGGCCCAAACUCCUACGGGAGGCAGCAGUAGGGAAUCUUCGGCAAUGGACGAAAGUCUGACCGAGCAACGCCGCGUGAGUGAAGAAGAUUUUCGGAUCGUAAAACUCUGUUGGUAGAGAAGAACGUUGGUGAGAGUGGAAAGCUCAUCAAGUGACGGUAACUACCCAGAAAGGUACGGCUAACUACGUG
rnacentral:rRNA from 1 species